rnacentral:rRNA from 1 species
GUGAACGCUGGCGGUAUGGAUAAGGCAUGCAAGUCUAGGGGCCCGCAAGGGCACCGGCAGACGAGGUAGUAACACGUAGGAACGUACCCGGAAGUCUCGCACAGCUCGUCGAAAGACGGGGUAAUUCGAGAUGGUCUCGUAAGAGUAAAGAUUUAUCGCUUCCGGAGCGGCCUGCGUUGUAUCAGCUAGUUGGUGAGGUAACGGCUCACCAAGGCUAUGACGCAUAGGGGACCUGAGAGGGUGACCCCCACCGAUUGAACUGAGACACGGUCAAUACCCCUACGGGGGGCUGCAGCCGAGAAUAUUCGACAAUGGGCGAAAGCCUGAUCGAGCGAUACCGCGUGGUGGAUGAAGUGCUUCGGCACGUAAACACCUUUUAUGGAAGAUGAAGUCAUUGACAGUACUCCAUGAAUAAGGGGCUCCUAACUCUGU